UGGAGUGAUUGAUUAAAACCCCAUUUGAUUUUGAUGAGCUCAAAGCAUUUGAGUAUAUCUUUUGAUUACUAAUGAAUUCAAUUGAGUGUUUCAGUGAAAAUUCUGUCUAAGUGUCCCAAGACUUGGUUCAUAAUUUUUGGAUAAGUUAAGGAGUCAGUUUGAACCAAUGUCUGAGACUCGAGUCGACUCCCGAGUAUCACGAGUCGACUCCAAGCGUAUCAAGUUCACUGGCACGAGCUCGAGUCGACUCCAGAUCAGUACGAGUCGACUCCGACUGAGAAC
rnacentral:lncRNA from 1 species